AAAAAUUUAAUUUAAUAUAUUAAAGUAGUAUUAGUUAUGGUCUUGAAAUUUAAAAAAUUUGGCGGUAUUUUAGUCUAUUCAGAGGAACCUGUUUUGUAAUCGAUAGUCCACGUUGUACCUUACUUAAUUUUGUUAUAGUUUAUAUAUCGUUGUUUAUAGAAUAUUUUAUAAAAAUAAUAAUUUUCUUAAUUUUAUAGUUUUAAAUAUAUCAGAUCAAGAUGUAGCUUAUAAUUAAGUUUAUAAUGGGUUACAUUUAUAUUAAUAUAUGGAAAUUAAUUUGUAAUAUUUAAUGGAAAUUGGAUUUGAUAGUAAAUUUAUAAAGAUAAAUAAUUUGAUUUUAGCUCUAAAAUAUG
rnacentral:rRNA from 1 species